UUGAAUGAACUUGGUGUGGUUGUCGCUGGCCCUCUCGGGGGCAUGUGCACACCCGCCAUCCUCAUCUCUCCACCUGUGCACCUCAUGUAGAUUUGGAUUGACUUUCCGAGGCAACUCGGUCGGGAGGACUGCUAGCUUGCUGGCUUUCCUUGCAUUUCCAGGUCUAUGUUUUUCAUAUACCCCAUUGUAUGUAACAGAAUGUAUUAUUGGGCACUUGUGCCUAUAAAACUUAU
rnacentral:misc_RNA from 1 species